rnacentral:rRNA from 1 species
GAAUAUUGGACAAUGGGGGGAACCCUGAUCCAGCCAUGCCGCGUGUGUGAAGAAGGCCUUUUGGUUGUAAAGCACUUUAAGCGAGGAGGAGGCUACUCUAGUUAAUACCUAGAGAUAGUUGACGUUACUCGCAUAAUACGCCCCGGCAAACUAUGUGCCAGCAGCCGCGGUAAUACCGAGGGUGCAAGCGUUAAUCGGAUUUACUGGGCGUAAAGCGCGCGUAUGUGGCAAAUUAAGUCAAAUGUGAAAUCCCCGAGCUUAACUUGGGAAUUGCAUUCGAUACUGGUUGGCUAGAGUAUGGGAGAGGAUGGUAGAAUUCCAGGUGUAGCGGUGAAAUGCGUAGAGAUCUGGAGGAAUACCGAUGGCGAAGGCAGCCAUCUGGCCUAAUACUGACACUGAGGUGCGAAAGCAUGGGGAGCAAACA